AUUGAACGCUGGCGGCAUGCUUUACACAUGCAAGUCGAACGGUAACAGGCCGCAAGGUGCUGACGAGUGGCGAACGGGUGAGUAAUGCAUCGGAACGUGCCCAGUCGUGGGGGAUAACUGCUCGAGAGAGCAGCUAAUACCGCAUACGAUCUGCGGAUGAAAGCGGGGGACCUUCGGGCCUCGCGCGAUUGGAGCGGCCGAUGUCAGAUUAGGUAGUUGGUGGGGUAAAGGCUCACCAAGCCAACGAUCUGUAGCUGGUCUGAGAGGACGACCAGCCACACUGGGACUGAGACACGGCCCAGACUCCUACGGGAGGCAGCAGUGGGGAAUUUUGGACAAUGGGGGCAACCCUGAUCCAGCAAUGCCGCGUGCAGGAAGAAGGCCUUCGGGUUGUAAACUGCUUUUGUACGGAACGAAACGGUCUGGGUUAAUACCCUGGGCUAAUGACGGUACCGUAAGAAUAAGCACCGGCUAACUACGUGCCAGCCGCCGCAGUAACAC
rnacentral:rRNA from 1 species